rnacentral:rRNA from 1 species
UACGGGGGGGGCAAGCGUUGUUCGGAAUUACUGGGCGUAAAGGGCUCGUAGGUGGCCAACUAAGUCAGACGUGAAAUCCCUCGGCUUAACCGGAGAACUGCGUCUGAUACUGGUUGGCUUGAGAUUGGGAGAGGGACGCGGAAUUCCAGGUGUAGCGGUGAAAUGCGUAGAUAUCUGGAGGAACACCGGUGGCGAAGGCGGCGUCCUGGACCAACACUGACACUGAGGAGCGAAAGCCAGGGGAGCAAACGGG